rnacentral:rRNA from 1 species
UACAGAGGUCUCAAGCGUUGUUCGGAUUCAUUGGGCGUAAAGGGUGCGUAGGUGGCGCUGUAAGUCAGGUGUGAAAUUUCGGAGCUUAACUCCGAAACUGCAUUUGAUACUGCGGUGCUUGAGGACUGGAGAGGAGACUGGAAUUUACGGUGUAGCAGUGAAAUGCGUAGAGAUCGUAAGGAAGACCAGUGGCGAAGGCGGGUCUCUGGACAGUUCCUGACACUGAGGCACGAAGGCCAGGGGGAGCAAAACGGG